ACGGGGUGCAGCAGGCGCGAAAACUCCGCAAUUCGCGAAAGCGUGACGGGGGAACUCCAAGUGCUGCAGCGUUAGCUGUAGCUUUUAUAAAGUGUAAAUAUCUUUAUGAAUAAGGGCGGGGCAAGACCGGUGCCAGCCGCCGCGGUAACACCGGCCGCUCAAGUGGUGACCGUUAUUAUUGGGCCUAAAGCGUCCGUAGCCUGUCUGAUAAGUCCUUGGGUAAAUCCUGACGCUUAACGUUAGGAAUUCUAGGGAUACUGCCAGACUCGAGGCCGAGAGAAGUCAGAGGUACUCUUGGGGUAGCGGUGAAAUGCUGUAAUCCUGAGGGGACCACCAGUGGCGAAGGCGUCUGACUAGAGCGGGCCUGACGGUGAGGGACGAAAGCCAGGGUAGCGAACGGGAUUAGAUACCCCGGUAGUCCUGGCCGUAAACGCUGCGCGCUAGGUGUUGCAUGCUCUACGGGGGCAUGCAGUGCCGAAGAGAAGUUGAUAAGCGUGCCGCCUGGAAGUACCAUCGCAAG
rnacentral:rRNA from 1 species